rnacentral:rRNA from 1 species
UACGGGGGGGGCAAGCGUUGUUCGGAAUUACUGGGCGUAAAGGGCUCGUAGGCGGCCAACUAAGUCAUACGUGAAAUCCCUCGGCUUAACCGGGGAACUGCGUCUGAUACUGGAUGGCUUGAGUUCGGGAGAGGGAUGCGGAAUUCCAGGUGUAGCGGUGGAAAUGCGUAGAUAUCUGGAGGAACACCGGUGGCGAAGGCGGCAUCUGGACCGAUACUGACGCUGAGGAGCGAAAGCCAGGGGAGCAAAGCGGG